AUGCCUCUAGGAUGCACCAUGGUUCAUUACAAGUUCCCAUGCCCGGUUUUAUCCAACGGGCGUGGAAACUCGAUUCGACAUCUUCACCUCAGCCGGUGCGCCUUCCAUCCCACGGCCGGGCUUGGUUGCUUGACAAGGCUGUUUCUGUUGGAGGUGCGCAUCACGGGAGAUGAGUUAGGGCACCUUCUGUCCAAUUCUCUUGCUAUGGAAGAGUUGUGUCUCAAUAGUUGUGAUACGAUAAUUCGCCUCAAGAUAUCUUGCCUGCUAAAUCGGUUCAGCUGCCUGUCAGUGUUUCAUUGCAAGUCUCUGGAAGUGAUAGAGAAUAGAGCUCCAAAUCUUUGCUUUGUUCGCAUUGAUGGCGCCGUAGAGAAACUUCCGAUUGGAGAUUUAUUGCAAAUGAAGAGACUACACAUGUUGGAUUACUACGAAUAUGACAUUGUUCAUGAUGCUCGUUCCAAGCUUCCAUUCAUUAUGCCAAAUCUUGAAACCCUCAACCUAUCUUCGGCUGGAGAGAUGUUCAAUACGCCAAUUUUAGCUGUCAAAUUCCUCUUCCUGAAGAACCUGAAGAUUGAUCUUAAUGAUGGACAGAUGGGGGGCUUUUCCCCAUCCUAUGAUUAUUUUUCCCUAGCUUAUUUCCUGGAUGCUUGUCCUGUCCUGGAGAAGUUUGUCUUGGGUGUAUCACAGACUCGAGUAAAGCAUGAAUUGAUUUCUGAUGGAGACUUGAACAUGAGACAGAUGCCAGGACAUCUCCAUUGCAGCGUCAAGAAUGUCAGGAUAAUGGGCUUCUGCUCUGCAAAGAGCAUGGUCGAACUAACCUACCAUAUUCUUGAGAAUGCAACCUCGCUCGAGCGCCUUACGCUGGACACCAUAUACGACAAUAGUAGUUAUGGAGAUGCUGAAAGGUCUUGUGUCGGGAAAAUAGGUGAAUGCAACCCGAAAAGCAGGAGUAUGAUCAUGCACGCCCACAAAGGGCUGGGGGUUAUUGAUAAAUAUAUCGUGGACAAAGUUCCCUCCACGGUUCAGUUGAGUGUGAAGAAGCUCUGCAGCCGUUGCCAUAAAAUUAAGUCCAAGGGGUUUAGGUAUGAGUAUCGGACUACCACUCCCUAG
rnacentral:rRNA from 1 species